UCUGGCUGUGAUGACAAACUUGCCCUCACUGACAUGUGUUGAUGGAGACUUCCUUGUGUACCUGAGCCACA
rnacentral:snoRNA from 1 species